CUUAUUCUAAAAGAACUGGUCUAAAAAGACAAGCAUCAAAAUUUUUACAAACUCUCAAAAUCUUUCCCCCUCUUCCGGUGAGGGGGAAUUUUCAGAUGAAUAUAAAUAUAACAAUUGUCAAUCCUCUGAUAAUGAUUCAGAUUAUUCUGAUUUCAACAACUUUAUUAAAUUUAAAAGACGUAAAAAAUCUUUGCCUGUUAAUGAUUCAGAAAUAGUUUUUCGAUUCCCUUGGUAAACCUAGAUUUAAUCCAGAGGAGGUUAAGCAUCCCAGAUCCUCAGAGUGGUUUCCCUCCUCAGGUGUUGCAGAAUAUAUUAAUUUUUAUUUAAGACAUCCCUUAUUGCAAGAAGUUCGUAGUAAACUUUGUGCCGAAUGUCCUCGCCCCUCCCUCCCAGGUAACUCCUCUGUCACUCCUGACAUUGACCCCCACAUUUUAAAAUUCCUGGGUUCUCCUGGAUCUAGCAUUAAACGAGGAUCUGACAAAUUACUUAAGUCUUGUCAAGACAAGCUUUUAGAUAUUUCUGGCCCCUUGUCAAAGUUAUUUGAGUUGGCUGAGGAUUCUGUUUUAAAUAAUUCUACAAUUGAUCCUCAAAUCAUCAUAGAGUAUAUUCAAAGAGCCUUUGUUUUAUUAGGCAAUGCCAAUACUGCUAUAGCUUGCAAACGCAGAAGGUCCAUCUACAGACCCCAAUGGCCUUCUCUUCAGAGAGGUGUAUCUCAAAAAACUCAGUGACUACACUAAAAAUUUUUCUAGUUUAUCUAAAACUAAAGCCACUGUAAAGACCCUCUACCAAAAUCCACGCCCCCUUUUUGAUAGGGCCUGAAAAAGAAGGGGUCGUUUUUCCGGCCGUCAACCCUUCAUCUCUAGACCCCAAUUUUAUCAGCAGCAGUUUCAGCAGCAACAACAAUUUGUCUCUCUCUUCUUCCCCACAAGAACCCGCUUCUGUCCCAGAGGUGCAAGAUCAAGAGGUCGCUUUAGAACCCCUUCAGCAUCCACCUCUCAAAACGUCUCCUUCAACUGAUUUGGAUUUUCCUAUCACUCCUCGAAAUCUACGUCAACUGUUCAAAAUUCUCCUUCAGCGUAGACAGAUUCACAGAAUAAUCCUCUCCUGCUUCAACCUCAAGUUUCUCCAUCCUGUAUUCAGAAUUAUUUAGAUUUUCUGUUAUUGGUUGUUCAUGUUCCAGUUGUUAUGGUGCUGUAAUAUGUUCCUUCCUUCUUUAAUGUCCUUUUUACCUAUUCGCAUCAAACAAGAAAGAGGAGGUAUUGGUGCACUCUGGACUGUUUAUGGACAUUAUGAGUAUGCUGAUUGGCUGAUAUCAUCUUCUACAUCCAUGGCUUUGUCCUUAUUGGUUCUUUUGUUUUCUCUAUUGUUUCACAUGUUUUAUGUUUACUAAUGUUUUCACUGUAUACUUUAAAAUGCUGUCAGAGCAGUAAAUUGAAAGUAAUGCAAAA